GACGAACGCUGGCGGCGUGCUUAACACACGCAAGUCGAACGGAAAGGCCCUGCUUUUGUGGGGUGCUCGAGUGGCGAACGGGCGAGUAACACGUGAGUAACCUGCCCUUGACUUUGGGAUAACUUCAGGAAACUGGGGCUAAUACCGGAUAGGAGCUCCUGCUGCAUGGUGGGGGUUGGAAAGUUUCGGCGGUUGGGGAUGGACUCGCGGCUUAUCAGCUUGUUGGUGGGGUAGUGGCUUACCAAGGCUUUGACGGGUAGCCGGCCUGAGAGGGUGACCGGCCACAUUGGGACUGAGAUACGGCCCAGACUCCUACGGGAGGCAGCAGUGGGGAAUAUUGCACAAUGGGCGGAAGCCUGAUGCAGCAACGCCGCGUGCGGGAUGACGGCCUUCGGGUUGUAAACCGCUUUCGCCUGUGACGAAGCGUGAGUGACGGUAAUGGGUAAAGAAGCACCGGCUAACUACGUG
rnacentral:rRNA from 1 species